GAUGAACGCUGGCGGCGUGCCUAACACAUGCAAGUCGAGCGAUUUACUUCGGUAAAGAGCGGCGGACGGGUGAGUAACGCGUGGGUAACCUGCCCUGUACACACGGAUAACAUACCGAAAGGUAUGCUAAUACGAGAUAAUAUGCUUUUAUCGCAUGGUAGAAGUAUCAAAGCUCUGGCGGUACAGGAUGGACCCGCGUCUGAUUAGCUAGUUGGUGAGGUAACGGCUUACCAAGGCGACGAUCAGUAGCCGACCUGAGAGGGUGGCCCCCCA
rnacentral:rRNA from 1 species